rnacentral:rRNA from 1 species
AUGGAUUUUAAACUGCAUGUGAUCGAAGCUAUCACAGACAAGUUUGGAGAGGAUCGGAAAGUCGGCAGCGGUGGGUAUGGAGAUGUUUACAGGGCCACCUAUGAAGGGGAGGAGAUUGCCGUGAAGAAGCUUCAUCAACUGCAGGGACUCGAUGAUAAGCAAUUUGACAGCGAGUUCCGUAAUCUUCGUAAAGUACGCCACCAAAAUGUUGUGCGGCUAAUUGGCUACUGCCACGAGUCUCGGAACAAAUACAUGGAUCAUAAUGGGGAACUUAUCUUCGCAAAAAUUAUGGAGCGGGUGCUGUGCUUCGAAUAUAUGGAGGGCGGAAGCCUCGAUAAACAUAUUACUGAUGGAUCUUGUGAACUUGAUUGGCCCAUAUGUUACAAAGUCAUCAAAGGGGCAUGUGAGGGCUUAAAUCACCUUCACACCGCGCAGGAGAAGCCUAUUUUCCAUCUAGACAUAAAGCCAGCCAAUAUAUUGCUGGAUAAGAGCAUGACCCCUAAAAUUGCGGAUCUUGGUUUGUCGAAACUUGUUUCUUCGACAUUAACACAUAAAACAGAGAUUGUGAAAGGGACACAAGGGUACAUGCCACCUGAAUAUGUAGACAAUGGCUUUGUAUCGAACAAGUUUGACGUAUUCAGUUUGGGAGUCGUGAUUAUAAAAAUGAUGGCCGGUAAUAUGGGCUACUUCCGUUGUGCUGAAAAGUCUCCCAAAGAUUUCAUUGAGCAUGUAACUGAAAACUGGAUGAAAAGGUUGCACGCGGAGCCUGGAUAUUCCUCGCACGAGACAGAUAUCCUCCGAGUGAGUACAAGUGUUGAGAUUGCACUUAGGUGUGUGGACAAGGACCGAAAAAAAAGGCCAUGUAUCAAUGAUGUUGUCCUUGAACUGGAGAAACUAGAAGCUAAGAUUAAGGAAAUGUCACUAGCUUCUGAUGUGCAAAAAGAUCUCACAGUCCAGAGAAGCUGUGACACCAACAUUAUGUCGGUGGAUCCAACCAUGGAGCUGCGGUUUCUCUUUGAGCAAGGGAAGGAGGCGUCGUGCUGCCUGCAGCUGACCAACAAGACGGGUGGAUUCAUCGCAUUCAACAUAGAGAUCAACCCGAACAAGUACCGUGCGCGGCCAAGCCAAGGGACCAUGCCGCCGUGCUCCAGGCGUUAUGUUGUCGUGACGCUGUCAGCGCAGGAGGCGGUGCCACCAUACAUGCGGUGCGAGGACAUGCUCCUCGUGCAGAGCACCAACAUCACCCAAGAUCUUGCUGCCAAUCGUUUAUGUUACACUGGACCAGUAGUCUCCACCAAGAACUGGGAGUGGUUGUCUCUGGUGACAAAGCGAUGUGUCGGUAAAUUCAGAUAA